AAACCUGCAAAAACAACAGAACAUGUCAUGCAUGCCCAUGGCAACAGAGUCCAGAAAACAGACCUCUUGGAGGCACAGAGAAAAGACAGUUUAAGAGCCCAUCAGUACUAGAUUCACUCCUAAUCCCAGCUUUGGAAGGCUUCGACUAAAAGUGAAGAAGUGAUGGGCCGGGAAUGCCUAGCUCUGGGAAUCUGGUCUUCUAAUACUUCCUGGUACUAUUUUAGAAAUUAAACUUGCCCACUUUUAACAAAGGAAGGAAAAGAAUGUUUGAACAAUUAGCCAUGGUGGUCCAUAGUCGGACUCAGAGCCCUCAGGAGGUGGAGACUGGAGGAUCUGUCAGCUUGAAGUCAACCUGAGCUGCUAGCAGGGCACUAUGUAAAACAUCUGCAAAAGAACUUAGAACAGUGGGACGAUUGGGGGUUCUCUCUGGCUAUCAUGCUUAAUUCAAGUAUCAUUGUGGCCAGAAAUAUCUCCUGAGAUUAUUUGUGACUUAGAAAAAUAAAAUCUGUGUCACACUAGGAUGCCUCAAAACAGAUCUCUACCCAACACUCCAUUCUCUGCAUUGCUAUGUAAGCAUGGAAGUGGUAUGUGAUCUAAUUGUAAGCUCCCACAGAAACAAGGGAUAGUCACAGAGACUCAUAACUCAGUAUGAAUGGACAGAUGGAAGCUUAAAAGCUCAACAUGUCUGUCUACAUUGUGCUCCCCGAGUUUAUCUUUGGUUUUGCUAGCAGCCACUGAUCCCUGCCAGGCACACCCAGGAAGUGGCCCUACAGACGACUUUACCCAUCAGGAAGUUGAGACCUUUAGGCAGGGUUCAUAAAGAAGUAAUCGCUAGCAAUCACCGGGCACAGAGAGAUCCUUUGCCCAUCUCUGUUUCACGUUUUCCCUGCCGAGAGUACUUAAUUAAAGGGCAGGGCUACUUUUGGUGUAGUGUUGCAGGAAUUUUACAGUGAAAUCAUAAAUUAUGAAUGUUGGGUUAGUGAAAGGAUGUGUAAAAACAGAACAGCUUUUUGUAUUCUAACAUUACAGCAGGCUGAACCAAGUUAGGUCAAAAGCUUUGCCUUCCAUGAUUUAUUAUCUGCUGUGGCGUACUUGCCAAAACUAACAGUGCAGGAUGGGCUAAGAGACACUGUAAUGCAGGGAAACAGUUCAGUUGGAUGUCACGGGCUCCUUAUUUGGGGGAGUCACACCAGUGGGUAAGCCUAGUUGUAGUCAAGAUUAAUUCAACCCUUUUGAGUCUCCUCUGAGUAGAGACAAUCUCUUGAAUUGGGUCUUAUGAGAGUUUAGGGAAGGGUGGCGAUGCUUUCUGAUUCCUCAGCAUCUCCAAGGAAAAGUUUUCUUUGAAUGAAAAGAAUUAGGUUCCCUGUGCACUGAGGGUGAGCACCAAGACUUGAAUACCCAAGUUCAUACCUGGACAAGAGUUGGCUUUGACCUAACAAAUUGUGUCUUAGCAAACACACACACACACACACACACACACACACACACACACACACACACACACACACACACACACAGAGUUCACAUUGUGUGAACAUAAGCCAUUGUGUAGCUAAACUUCAUAAAGAGUUUUGAGAGUUGUGCCAAAUGAUGUCAGAGUUAUCAAGGCAAAUCUGGUAAGAGACAAAAGACCUGCAGCUCUGUGGGCCUUGCGCAGGCAGGCCCGAAAGCAUCCCAUUGCAAUACACCCACACCAAGGCCUCCAUGAAUCUGAUAGCAAGCUCCACACAUUUCUCCACUUUAUUAGGCAGCCACUCUGGAGACCACACUGUUCUUCAGAAAGGCACUAAUAUUUUUACUAAGGGAGCAAAAGUGUGAUCUAGCCAGUCAUGAAGAAGAACAAAAGAAUAUACGGGCAUCGUAAAAAGCAAGCCUAGUAUUUUAAAGAUUUAAUAAAACAAAAAACACACAUCACCAGCACUGGGCAAGCAACAGUGGCCUGUACUUCCCCUGAACAGCUAAAUCACAAGCCAAAGGACUCGGAGCAUGACAGCUCUUUAUGAAAAUGGCCCUUUCUAGACAGAGAGGCCAGGCUGGGGAACACCUCCAUGCUGAAGGAAAUGGCCUGUUUCACUUGUGAGGCAACAGCUGAAAUCUGGCAAACCACAGACGUUUUGGCAGGAUUGUGAACCUGAACAUUGCAAGUGACGGUUCAGGAGCAGGAUUCCCACAAGAGAGCAGUCUGGAUGUAUUCCUGAAACUGCCAGGACUCUACCAUCUCUCUAUCUUUAAGGUUCUUGUGGAGUUAAAAAAACACCAGCGCUCUCAUGAGCAAAAACUCUAAUGAACUUUGUCUGAUUAUGUAAAAAUGAAUAAACACAACUACUUAUAUGUAUGGGCUGUUAGGGCUUUUUCAUGACAUGGUUCAUAAGUGACAAAGAUAAUAUGGAGUUUUAGAAGGUUUGGAACUAUAAUGACAGAAUAGCCUCUGGCUUUGCUCCCUUGUGCUUCUCUGAGACUUCCUUAGCAGCUCAGGGUCCUGGGGUUAUCAGAUUCUGGCAAGACAGACUUUGGACAGCUUACUGUUUGUGAAGGAGCUGACUGCAUAGGGCUAGCCUGAGCUAAUGUGUGAGACCAUGUCUUAGACCUGGAUGGAGGAUGCUUAGUACUGGCGCUGAGCCUCCUACUGCUCAGAGGCACUCAGUGCGUGUCUGACCCUUCUCAUGGGUCACCAUGACUUGACAGUUGCUAUUCCCCACAGUGCAGUUUGUAUUUCUUUGUGGAACAGACACUAGGAUGAGAGUCACUCCUGAACAAGUAAUCUGUUUAUGAAUAAAAUACCACCAAAUUGGUAAAUUUAACAAAUAGCUCUUAAGAAAGACGAGGAAGGUCAAGAGCUUGAAGGGAUGAAAUAAUGUCAACUUUACAAAUGAGUUAAGCAUUUUUCUGGCUUCCUGCCACUUUAGGGUACUUUGAAACAUUGAAUAGGAGAUGCUGGCACUAACACUGGGUGCUGUUUGUGUAUCCAUCUCCCAGAGAUCACCCUCUACUUCAUCACUUCAUUUUUUUUUUUUUAAAUUCUGGGACCCAGAUGAGGGCAGAGGCCAUAUAUUACUUCCAUUCGUAUUCUCAGGGCUUCACAAGACAGUGCCUAGCUCAUGGCAGACACUCUCUGGGGCAAGAUGGAGGAUGUAGUCAACAACAGAGGCCUCAGGCAGCUUAGUACUGUUCGCUGCAUCAGUGGUGGUCUACAGACAACAGAGCUGGUGAACUCAACAGCGUCAUUCAGAAUGACCUGGAGCGAACACAGCGAUGACGUAUGUACAGAUCACAAUGACAACAGGUAUGUCAACAUCUCUUCUAGGCUAAACUAGGGAUUAACAUGACUCCAUGGUAGAGAAUUCCCCAGCUGACCUUGUGGUGUGGGUUGUAGUAAAAGAAGAAGCACUGAAAAUAUGGUUUAAGAUUACCUUCAGUCUAUGUUCAUAAAGUAUAUAGGAAACAUACCUGAAUGUUGCUUUGAGACCUGUGCCACAUCUCAGAAGAUAUCUUAAUAUACAGGGCAAAUGUUCAGAAUUCCUAAAGACACCCAAAUCUGAAAGACUUCUGGUUUCAAGUACUUAGUAUAUGGGAUGUUCAUACUGCUUUAAUACUUCCAUAGCACUUCCAGGUGCCACCGAUACUUCUGAACAUUUUCAACAUAUGAAGUCACUUAACUCUUGUGACAACAUCAUGAACUAGACUCAAGUACACUCCCUGUUCUACAGAAGGAGAAACUAGGGAAAAAGGUCAUUUAGUACUGGGCUGUCUGUGACUGUACAAGGGGCAUGUGCAGUGAUUCAUUUAACUGAAUAGGGUGAGAGAGGAGCAGAAUUGAGCCAGAAAAGGGGGAAGUGCCUUGGUGCUAACUAGACUCUACUAAGAAUGCUUUGGACAGUUCUGGGGCCAUGUUUACAGAGACAGCUGUCAGUUCCCAGUUGGAACUGACUUAGAGGAGAAUCCUAGGAUAUCUGGGGAACUGCCAGGCUAACAGAGCAUGCCUGACCUAAAAAGAAGCAUCGCAUAGCAACAUGCUUUUAGCAUGGCAAUUUCAAGAGGGCUCUUGGGGAGCUGAUUCAUGUUCUUUGCCCUCCCCCACUUUCUCCCUUUCUCUCUCCUCCUUUUCCUUCUCUCUCCUUGUCUCAUGUAGCUCAGGCUGGCCUUGAACUUGCCACAUAGCUAAAAAUGACCUUGGUCUCUUGAUGCCUUUGCCUCCACCACCCAAGUGCUAAUAUUACAGGCAUGUACCACUACUCUGAACUCUAUGUCAUGGCUCUGAAGUGCAGAAUUAGGGAAAAUUUUAAGAUAGCUAAUAGUCAUAUUGUUAUGUAACACCCCAUCCCAUAACUGAAACAUCUGAAAACACAAAGUGAGCUGCCUUACAAACCACUGUGGAUGGAUCUACUAAAUCAGGGUUUGGCUCUCAUUAAUGAAGAUGCUUGAAGGGCUGGAGAUAUAGCUUAGCAGAGUCAUGGCCUGGCAGACAUGAGGACCAGAGUUUGACUACCUGCAGCAUAUAAACAAAGUAUAGUGACAUGUGCCUAUAAUCCCAGUACUUAAGAGCUUUGUGAAGGCAGGAAGGCUAGAAGUUGAAAGUCGCUACUGACUAUACAAUGGGUUUGAAGCCAGCUAGGGCUGCAUGAGAUCCUGUCUCAAAAGGUAAGUGAAUUAAUAUAUACAAAUUAUGAUUUUGAAUACGAAUCCUUCCAAAUUUCCUUCUUUUGAGAAACUGAUCUAGCUACACACACAGGGAGCUCAGUCACAGGUACUCAGAUAUAACUACCAUCCUCAGAUGCCCAUGGCUGCCACUGCUCUCUGUGACUUCAGGUUGCCAAGGCUCUGUGCCAUUAAGUUUCAUUCUAGAGACACUAGUUUCUUCCCAUGCACCUAUUCACUGAAUGUUCAGAAGGACAAUGUAGCCCUCAGGAAUUCUGUGUAUCAACACAGAUGGAAGAUAACACUGCGUGGUCCUGUCCUGCCUAGCUGAUUCUUUCCCAUCACUCACUGGGACCCUGCGGCUGUCAGAAUGCUUGACCCCUACUCUGGGCUGUAAUCUGGACAUUCUCAAACCUGGACCAGAGGGCCUUGAGGGGCUAUGGGAAGACUGCAGGAGGUUGGUAGACACCAGGCACUGUGCUCAGUUGCAGUGGGAGCAAUCUAUCUUGUCUUAGUUUUAAAAUGUUGAUAACAGAAUUCACAGUAGAUUUCAGUCACUUUGUAUCUUAUAAGUAGAUGGGAUUGAAAGGCACAGCUGUUAUCUUAUGGGGUGCAAAGAUUGUUUUUGUUUGUUUUGAAGAAGAAAGAUCCGCAUAUCUGUUCUAAUUGCUUCUGCUUCUUUCUGUUGCUGGAUGUGUUGUGCACAGGUGAACAGCAUCCACAGAGUGAGUUCUGUGAUAUGGGUAACACUUAAGUCACAUUGAAGAUGUGUGAAAAUACUUAGCAAACUUGUAACUAACCUGUCCCUGCACAUAUGGUUUGCCUUCACAGCAAGAGUGAGCUGAAAGGAGAGACAUUUAGCAACUGCAUCAGACCCCAUGCAGAACUCCCUCUACUGGGAGCAGGCUCACCAAUGUCAUGGCCAGGGAAGAAGGGGGCCACCAGUGAUGGUGGAGCUGGAGUUCUCGGUGGGCUGAAGAGAGAUGCCAUUGCAGACAGACGCCACAAUGCCUUCAGUGCUUCCUACCUGUUGAAGUUCAGGCCUUUGUACAACCGCCAAUGGCUAUGCGGAGAUACGCGUACGGUGAAGAGGAACUGAGCAUGCUCUCGGCCACUCAGGCAACGGAGAAAGAGAAACCAUCAGUCUAUCUUUAUACGAGACCAACACUGCACCACUACAGACUGGAAAAGAUGGAAACAGAGGGCUGUUGAGGGACAGGAAGUGUGAUGUCUAGAGCCUUGCUGUACUUCUAUUCCUAAUUUAGAGAGGCUGUGAAAAUGGGUGUUAUUUUAGGCCACAGUUUUAUAGACAAUUGCUAUAUAGCAAUAGAUGGCUAACACAAAUAUUCACUGUAGAUUUGAGGUUAAGUAUAAUCAACUUUUGUUCUCCACAUAUGCAGCAUUGAGGGUCCUGGUAGGUACAGAUUGGCUUUUCCAGUCACAGAUGAGCCUCGGAUUCAUACAGAAGGAGAUUAUCAGUAAGCACCAGCUACACACAUCCAGGCAAGCCCCUGUUACUGAGCAACUCCGUGUCUCCUGCCAUCAGAGCUUCUUGGCUGUGCACCAGCCCCAUGCGUGUUGCGUGUCUGAGGAGCUGGUGUUACUCACGGAAGAUUUUUCUAGGGUUUUUUUUUUUUUGAUUCUGUGAAUUGGCUGUUACGUUUGGUUAUAUAGAGUCUAAAACUUCAAAUGUCAAGUAUGUGUUGGGGCCAAAGGGUGUGAGAGGCAGGUUAAGGUGGGACACCAGUCGGCUGAAAUAAAUGACUGGCAACUGGGGAAGAGACAGAAAAAGCCACAGCAGUGACAGUCCGUGGCUGUUCUGUGUUGGAGCAAACAGACUUUGUCUCUCUCAGCAGAUGCUGGGGACAGUCUAGGAAAAACAGAUGCUGAGGACAUUUUGUUCAGUUUUAAAAAGGCAGUAGAAGCAGCAGACUAUUUUUAAAGACUGUCAGCGAGAGCAUUUAAAAAAAAAGUCCUUCAGGGAGUAAAUUCUUAGUUUUCCAGAGACUGGGCUAUCCUCAGAUGGUCCUGGCAGAUAUAGACAGCGAAUGUUUCAUAGGAUUCGGGACAGGUACCAGCGACUGUGCAAUUCAGUGAAGAUUUUCUACAACUACCCGGGGAAUCCAUUUUAUCAGAAAACUUGGGUUCCCAAUUCAGGUAGAACACUCUUCCCUUUUCUAACCCAUAGGAUGGAAGGGUCUCCCUGUUGUGGCUCUCCACUCUUCCAAAAUGCAAGAAUUCUUCAGGUGGUUUUUAAUAACUUACAGAGAAAGGGUGGCCCAAUAGUUCUACAUGGCCAUUCAUGGCCACUGAGGUGCUCUGAGUGAAAAACGUUCCUCAUAGUCUUGGGCACUUGAAUACCUGGUCCCCUCCCCAGUUAGUGGUACUGUUUGGGGAAGACUUUACUACGGGCAGGCUUUGAGAUUAAAAAGGCUCCAUAACUUCUAGUUUCUCCGCUCUGCUUCCUGACUGCCACUAAAGAUGCAAACACUCAGCUGCCUGCUCCAGCUGCCAUGCCUGCCCGAAGCUAUGGUACCCCAUGGUGAUGGGUCAUGGUGUUUCAUCACCGCAACAACACAGUUACUAAUACAAUCAUCCUCAUCCAAUAGAUGAAGAAACUUGGACACUAAAAGGGUCACACUUGAACCUAAACAGCCUGACUCCAUUUCUUGCUCUUGUAAUGAGUAUACUAUACUGUCUCUCAUUAUAUCUUGUGUUUACUCUGGAAUUUAUUCAACAUAGAUUCAACUUUGAAAAAUAUUUACAAUGCUUGGAAAGGGUAAAAAUCCAGAGUCAGUACAGGGCCUAGGAGCCACCUGUCUGAGAGGGAUCACUCUUCAAUAAUUUUACAUUACAUUUACCUAGCUUUGAAUAACUUCAUUCGGGAAGUACAUGGAGGAGCAACCCAUAACUCAGGUUAGAAAAGAAAAUGAUUGCAUUUGAGGAAGUGUGUUUAAAGCCCCUGAUGAUGAUGAGGAAGUAAGCUAGGGAGGGACCAUUGCAUCUAGUUCACAGAAGAGAGAUGCUUCCAUUGUGAAGGGGCUCAGAAGGCACUACCACAGUGCGUGCAGAUCAACAGAAAUAGACGACUAGAAGAAAGUUACAAGAGCCCAAGGAAGCAAAAGGCUAAGGGAGUCUGGGAGGUGGUGUGUGCUUAGUUUUUCCUCUUCCAGAGAAGGUUCAGACUUCUUGAAUAGGGUUGGUAUCAUGAAUUUUAAAGUAUCUAUCUAUCUAUCUAUCUAUCUAUCUAUCUAUCUAUCUAUCUAUCUAUCUAUCUAUCUAUCUAUCUAUCUGCUUCUAUAUCUAUUGAAGAGAUUGGCUGUGUCAUUAAAUUGGUGUAUUUACGUUUUCAGCUCUAAGAGAAAAAGAUACACACACACACACACACACAUAUACAUGCAUGCCGCGCGCGCGCGUGUGUGUAUGUGUGUGUGUGUGAGAGAGAGAUAGACAGAGAGAGAGACUAUGUAUUUAGAAAUUGGAGCUUCCACUUGUAAGUGGAUAUUAGCCCAGAAACUUAGAAUACCCAAGAUAUAAGAUACAAUUUGCUAAAUACAUGAAACUCAAGAAGAACGAAGACCAAAGUGUGGACACUUUGCCCCUUCCUAGAAAUGGGAACAAAAUACCCAUGGAAGGAGUUACAGAGACAAAAUUUGGAGCUGUGACGAAAGGAUGGUCCAUCUAGUGAUUGCCAUAUUCAGGGAUCCAUCUCAUAAUCAGCUUCCAAACGCUGACACCAUUGCAUACACUAGCAAGAUUUUGCUGAAAGGACCCAGAUAUAGCUCUCUCUUGUGAGACUAUGCCGGGGCCUGGCAAACACAGAAGUGGAUGCUCACAGUCAGCAAUUGGAUGGAUCACAGGGCCCCCAAUGGAGGAGGUAGAGAAAGAACCCAAGGAGCUAAAGGGAUCUGCAACCCUAUAGGUGGAACAACAUUAUGAACUAACCAGUACCCAGGAGCUCUUGACUCUAGCUGCAUAUGUAUCAAAAGAUGGCCUAGUCGGCCAUCAUUGGAAAAGAGAGGCCCAUUGGUCGUGCAAACUUUAUAUGCCUCAGUACAGGGGAAUGCCAGGGCCAAGAAGUGGGAGUGGGUGGGGGACUUUUGGGAUAGCAUUGGAAAUGUAAAUGAAAUAAAUACCUAAUUAAAAAACAAAAUAAAAAAAGAAAAAAAGAAAUUAGAGCUUCAGUUAAGCUUCAGUUGAAGGAUGGCAAACAACGGUAUGACUAAUGAACUUGUAAAUUUUCUUUUCAUGAGAAUCUUCAUCAAACAACAAAAACAACUUGUAUUGAUUAAACAAGUUGUACUGAAUAAAAUCUUGGUUCCCAGCCCAAAUCUUUGAUUUCAAAUCAUAGUCAAACAACAACAAAAAAUCUUCUAAAAAAAAAUGGAACAAAAAAUGAAAAUUAGAAAAAGUAAAAUUCUGCGAAUCAUACGCAUGAUACAUAUGAAGACCCACACUUUCUGUUCUCCUUCUGAGGAGCUGUGUGGGGUCUAUCUAUCUUCUGAGGAUGUGUGCGGACAUGUGGUUGUUGGACAUGGCCUGUUUCCCAGUCCAAGAGACCUGCAUGUGGUUCUUAUGAAGACACUGUUUUCAAACACAUAGUUCGGGAUGAAGGAGAAAUAUAAAACAUCUUGUAAUUGUUUUAAAAUAAACUCUUAUGCCGUUUAUUUAGUUUUUAAUCUGCAUGUUGUAGAUUGGCUGUGCACUUGUUAAUCACUGUUGUAUGUAUCUCCAGACAGAGCUGUAAAUAACUUUUCAGUCCAAGUGAAACAUGCCUGCAUGUGUUUAUGUGGAAAGUAUGUGUCCUUAGGCCUGUGUGUAAAUAUGUGUACAGUGAUAACAGAUUAGCGAUCAUGUAAUAUAACAUAAUAAAGUCUGCCACUAUGGUCAAUUUAAUACACAAUGCAAAUAUCCCUUUUCACAGUAUCUAGGAAUGAAAUAAAAAUACAAUAACUUGGUUCAUUUCCUUUUUUUUUUU